rnacentral:tRNA from 1 species
UUAAAGCCCCUUCAACUCCU